GACUGUGCUGGAGGACCAGAAGAUUGCAAAUUCAGUGUGCCUGUACCAAAGGGUGGCAGCAAAAGGGGAGUGCUUUCAGGUAACUGAGAACCUGGCAAAUUAGAAGCUGCAGCUGGUAAAGACGCAUUCAUGGCUGGAUAUUGCAUAGGUUGCUGCAUGGAAGAUGGCAUUGACAAGCCAGGUGGGGGUUGAAGCAAAGGUUGCUGCUGUGGAGGAAGACCAUUUGCGGACCCAUAGUAACCCUGCCAGUACAUUGGUAUGGAGAGCCCACUAUUUGCGGUUGGAGCACCUGAUGAACCCC
rnacentral:lncRNA from 1 species